rnacentral:tRNA from 2 species
GGCGUGGUAGCUCAGUUGGUGAGAGCGUCGGAUUCAUAACCCGGAGGUCGACGGUUCGAUUCCGUCCCACGCUA